rnacentral:rRNA from 1 species
CACGGGGGUGGGGUGCGAUGGUGUGGGUAGGAUGCCACCGGAGGGGAGCGGCCUAGCCGGGUGGAACCGAGGGAGCGGUUACUUAGUCUACACGCGCUCCACUUAGCGGAGAGGGCGUCGAAGAGGAUGGAGCUGCUCUUCCGGCUGCCACGACACGGCUGGCGGGGUUGCGGAAGGGGGGUGGUUGGUGGUCUAGGGCCGGCCGCUUGUCUCGAGGGUGGUGUCGUGGGGCAGUACGGUGGCACGUGUAGGUGAUCGGGUACGUCAAGCCUACCCCCACGAGUGGGGCAGGGUGGAUCCGGCCGUCUGGGGCAGCGGCCUAGGUGGGUUCGGCCGUGUGGGGUAGCUGGAGGGGGAUCGGCAGUACGCGUCGUCGAGGAGGUGGAGAGAACUCAACAGCCCGCAGCGGGCUCACGUCGAGUCAACGACAGGGUUACGUCGAGCCGACGGUGACAAGUCAGAGCCCGUACCUGCACGUCGAGCUGUUGGUACCUGUACGUCGAGCAUGAACAGCAGUUGCGGAUGUAGUGAAGGGGAGUUAAAAACUUCGGUUCCCUGCGCGCUCGAGGUACCUGUCUCGCCAUCAACGGGGAGAAGAGGUUGAGGUUACUGAGGAGACCCAGGAGAGGUAGCACGGGCAGUGUAUCGUCACGUGAGGCCUCCCGACGUCCUCUACCACCGAUGUGGCCUACGGUCUGUGAUGUUACCUACGCCACGCCAGGUGUACCCGGAACCGGCGACCUGUAUUUACGUAUACACAAGUAGCGGCCGCACGUCAAGGGUUCGCUGCGUAUACAUCAAAUGAGCUUUUUGUUUUUUUACGUCUUCUUUUCUAUUGUUUCUUCAAGUAAAACAAGAAAGAAAACUCAACCGUAAGUAAAGGGUUCGCUUGCGAUUCUAAGGUCACGUUACGGGAACACACUAAGGUAACGUCACGUGAAAGUACUAAAA